rnacentral:misc_RNA from 1 species
UUGGAGGAUUCCGUUAUCUUUAAUUUUAUUAUUUACGGAUUUUUAUAUCCCUUAUUUAUUUGGGCUUCUCCUUUUUUGUCUGUAUUUUUAUCUCAUUAUCUAUAUAUUUAUUUUAUAGUUUGAACAUUGUUCUUUGACAUUUUGGACACAAAACAAUAACGACAUUAUUUGUCCGUUUUUCGUUUUCGUUAUUCAUUAUUUCUAUUUCAUUUUUUGUUUUAGUUAUUUUGUUUUUUCGUUUACGAUUUGAUUAUUUUGCGGUUCUUUAUUUUUUUCGGUUUUUUGCCGUUUUAAAUUUAUGUACUGUAUUAUUUUUAGGACAAUAUAUUUUAUAUGCUAUAAUUAUGCUAUAAUAG